CCGGGCUGCGCUUUGCGCCCUGGAGCCGGUGAGCGGCUGUCGCCAUUGUUGGGGCUGCUCUUUAUGGCCCGGGGCAGAGCACCCAGGCCUCGCCAGGCAGGCUGGAGGUGUGCAGAGAGCCCAAGACCGAGCCGCGACGAAGCUCUGCAUGGACGGUUUGCCACCUAGGCGGAAAUAGCCCAGCCAAGCCGCUGCCCGGUAGACGUAUAAUCCAGGCCACAUAUCCACCCCUUAUGCAUGUGAAAACUGGACGUGAAAAAAGACGGUUGAAGAAUUGACGCAUUCAGAUUGUGGUGUUGGCGAAGAGUCUUGAAUAUACCGUGGAUCGCCAGAAGGAGCAAUCAGUCUUAGAAGAAAUAAAACCGGAAUGCUCCUUAGAAGCGAAGACGGAGAAACAUGGGCUCCCUUACUUUGGGCAUGUCAUCCAGAAAGACCAAUUGUUAAAAAGGAUAUCGCGGUUAGUACAGGGACAGUAAAAACGAGGGAAACCCUAGAUGAGAUGGGUUGACGCAGUAGCUGAAACAGUGGACUCAAACACGCGAACAGUGGUGAAGAUGGCACAGGACCAGACUAUAUUUCAUUGUUAAGCCGACUCGACAGCAGCUAAUAACAUCCCAAAUACUGUAAUCAAUUUAAAAGAUGCUUUAUAUUCUUUUGUCGGUAUUAAGUCUUGGAAAUCUGGUGUGUUUUACUCUUACAGGACCAGUUGCUGUCAUGGCUACCCCAUUUGUGUCAGAGUAGAACUGUGCUCCACAGGGUUUUUAAUGACUAAUUUUUUAGAAGUAGAUCACCAGGCCUUUCUUCUGAGGUGCCUCUGGGUGGACUCAGAAUUCCAACCUUUUGGUUAGCAGCCAAGUACUUACUGAUUGCACCACCCAAGGACUCCAGGAAAUUCAGAGAUAGGUUCAUAUGUGCAGCCUAGCUGAGCCAGAAAUAAUGUCUACUACCAACUCUUUAAUUGGUGUGUAAUACUGUAUGUUGUUGUUAGGUGUCAUCUAGUAGGUUCCGACUCAUAGCGACCCUAUGUACAACAGAAAGUGCACCAUCCUCACAAUCGUUAUGCUUAAGGCCAUUGUUGCAGCCACCGUGUCAGUCCAUCUCAUUGAGGGUCUUCCUCUUUUUCGCUGACGCUGGGCUUCACCAAGCAUGAUGUCCUUCUCCAGGGACUGAUCCCUCCUGACAACAUGUCCAAAGUAUGUAAGAUGUAGUCUUGCCAGCCUUCCUUCUAAGGAGCAUUCUGGUUGUAUUUCUUCCAAGACAGAUUUGUUCGUUCUUUUGGCAGUCCAACACCACAAUUCAAAGGUGUCAGUUCUUCUUUGGUCUUCCUUAUUCAUCACCCAGCUUUUGCAUGCAUAUGAUCUGAUUGAAAACACCAUGGCCUGGAUCAGGCAGACCUUAGUGUUCAAGGUGACAUCUUUGCUUUUCAACACUUUACAGAGGUCUUUUGCAGCAGAUUUGCCCAGUGCAAUGCAUCUUUUGGUUUCUUAACUGCUGCUUCCAUGGGUGUUGUAAGAUGUUGUGUAUUCCUUUGUUGGUAUUAAGUCUUGGAAAUCUGGUGUGAACACCCAUAAUAUUGUAUAGGUAUCUAUUGUGUAUCAAAUUGUCUUAAAAUUUAGCAGCCACAGGGCUCCUGUGGAACAUUCAGAUUAUCAAACUGAUCUUCCUAAACCAUUUUCCCCCUACUCACGAAUGGUUGUCUGUUGCCCAUAAGAUAAAGUUUAAAUUCCUUUGCCUGGCUUUCAGUAUCUUCCAUAAUCUUUCCCCAUGCUAUCUGUCCUUUAUAAUACUCUACUAGCUCUAAAUUGACUAAAACACCCCUGCUUUCAAAGAGUGUUUUAUGACUCAUUAGGAAUGGUAAGAAAUACACAAUUCACUAUAAUGAACACGGUUUAGUGCAAAAUACAAAGACAGAGCAAUAGGGAUUUGGAAGAGAUACCUCAUCCAGUUAGAGCAAAAAAGUUUUCACUAAGAAGUUGACAUUUUCAGAUGGGUUCUGGGAUUGAGGAUUUCACCUGCAAGUGGAAAAGGAGGUGGACCAGGUAGAAGAAAUGCUGUGGAGGGAGGAAAACAAGGGGCAUAUUUAGGAAGAGUGCAAGUCUAGUUUGGCUGAAACAUAGGAUACAAGGAGGAAAAGUAAGAGUGAAAAGUGUUAAGUCAUCAUUAAGUAAAGCCUUUCCAUUUCUGAAACACAUAAAUCCCUGUUGUUAGUUGCCGUGGAACUGGUCCCCCAACUCACAGUGACUCAGCAAACAAUGCUUCCCAGUCGUCCAUCUUAGAAUGGAAACUCGACUGAAACCUGUUCAGCAUCGUAGCAACAUACAAGCCUCUGCUGACAGAUAGAUGGCGACAGCGCAUGAGGUACGUACGUUGGGCAGGAUCAAACCUGGGUCUCCGGCAUGGAAGCCGAGAAUUCUACCGCUGAGCCACCAUUGCCCCCGUCUGUGGAUCCCUUCUGUUUACCAAAUGAAGACUCAACAGCAGACUCUGCAAUUCAAGAACCACAUUACUUUGUGUCCUGACGUAGUUUGGAAUUAAGCGAACUAUCUUAAGGGCUAUGCCACAGUAUCCAAAACAAAUUCUAAUUUUCAAUAUUUUUAAAUCUAUAUUGUUACAGGCAGUCUCAGUUUACAUUUUUCUGUAGUGUUCAUUGUGUGCUCACACAUUUGGUAAUAUUUUUUGAUAAUAUUCUCAGCAGAGAUUAGAUGCAUUAAGUUAGACAGUACUGUUGCCUCCAUGAACUGCCUCCUUUGCCAUGAAACCAGAACUGGAUGGUGCCUAGUUACCAUUAUUGAACAUUCUGAUCAAAGAUUCCAUAUAAGAAUCCUGAUCAAAAGGGGGAAAAUGCAGAACAGAAUUUCAAAUUCUUAUCAACUUGAGACUUCCUAUAGCCAUGGAGGCUGGAUGAACCCCUGAAACUAUUGCCCUGAGAUAACCUUUAAACCUUAAACCAAAAAUACUCCCUGAUGUCCUCUUAAGUAGUUUAGCUUAACUAGUAAAAUAGCUUAACUAGUAAAGAGCCCUGGUGGUGCAGUGGUUUAGAGCUCAGCUACUAACCAAAAGGUCAGCAGUUCAAAUCCACCAGCUCUUUCUUGAAAACUCUAUGGAGCAAUUCUACUCUGUCCUAUAGGGUCACUAUGAGAUGUAAUCGACUGGAAGGCAACAGGUUUGGUUUUGGGGUUUAGUUGUAGAAUCAUGAUGAUUAAAUAUCCUAACUGUAAUUGAGUGUCUUCUAUAGUUUAGACUCAGGGUGGGCAAACUUCUUCUGUAAAGGGUCAUGUAUUUUAGGCUUUGUAGGCCUGUUGCAGGCCUGGUCCCUGUUGCAACCAUUUCCUUUUGCUGUUACGGCAUAAAAGUGGCCAUAAAUAAUACAGAAAUGAAUGAACAUGGCAGUGUUCCAAUAAAACUGUAUUUAUGGAUGCUGAAAUUUGAAUUUCAUGUAUUUUCCCCAUGCCACAAAAUAUUAUUCUUUUGCUUUUUCCCCCAACUAUUCAAAAAUGUAAAAAAUAAUCCCUAGCUUGCAGGCCAUACAAAAACAGCUGGCAGGCCAGAUUUGGCCAAUGAGGCAUAGUUUGCCGACCCCAGUCUUAAACUCUUAAUCCUCACAACAUCCUAGGAGGUAGGUCCUAUUACAUCUUAAUUUUGUACAUUAGAAAAACAAGCAGAGGGUUGUCAGGUGACUUUCUCAGCAUCCCACAGGAAGUGUUAGAAUCUUGUACAUGGUCCACAGAGUCAGGUGAAGUAAUAGACAUUUCCCAACAUUGUCCAUCCAGUUAUUUGAAAGGCAUUUAUUGGACAAUGAGCCUAACAGUGCUAAGCCCAUGAUAGCCAUUAAAAGAAACUUAUAGUUUUCUUAUGAGUAGGUACUUGUUGAUUGCCUUUGUUUUAAUGUGUAAAAAGAGUCAGAAAAAAAAAAUCAGUAUCUUGAUUUUUGUACAGCUUUUUUCCUCCCUGAAAAGAGCUUCAGGCAUACUUUUUUUCAUUCCUUUUCAAAGCAUCCCAGUGUAAGAGCACAGGAAUUUGUUACUCCGUGUUUGGAAAACUGAGGCCAUGGCUUGGGAGCGUUAAGUGAUUUUACCUUACGUCUUAGGAGCAUAAUAUUAAUGUCAGAACCAGAACCCAUAUUUCUAGCUUUCUUUCCCAACAUAAAUGCUGUGGUGAAAGUAGAGAAAGAAUACACGAAUAUAUAGCUGAGCCUUUUUAACUCCAUUGUGACACAAAUGACCUGGGACCUAACAGUAGUUAGGAGUUGUCAGAAUAAUUUUCUAUCUUGCUAUUAACACAGCUGGAGCAGUGUAAAGAAAUAUAUCAAUCUAAAUUACUAAAGAAAGUUUAUAUCUUUUUUCCUGCCUUAAAAUAAGUGUGGAUUUUCCCGAGAGUGUGGCCCCUGGACACCCUUUUAACUCAGUACUGAAGUCACUCCUGAGGCUCACCCUUCAGCCAAGGAUUAGACAGGCCCAGAAAACAAUAAUACUCAUAGCUCAACCACAUAUAUGGGCUGAAUGGGCACACCCGCCCAGGGGCAAGAAUGAGAAGGCAGGAGGGGACAGGAAAGCUGGACAAAUGGAAAUGGGAACCCAAGGUUGAGAAGGGAAGAGAGCUGACACGUCGCAGGGUUGACAACCAAUGUCACAAAACAAUACGUGUAUUACUUCUUUAAUGAGAAACUAAUUUGCUCUGUAAACCUUCAUAUAAAGCACAAUAAAAAAAUAAGCAUGGAUUUGCUUCUUGCUGAAAACCAGUAGGACGCUGGCAUUUGCCAUUUUUUUAAAAGCAAGAAAGCUGCCCUUACUUCACAGACAUGAGCGCGCUGCCCAAAAUGCAUGGAGACCAAAGUUUAUUGUGGUUACGAGGGAGGGGCGGGUGUGAGGAGAGAACUGGGGGUUAUUGCUUAUGGGGUACUGAGUUUCUACUGAGGGUGAUGAAAAAGGUUGGAAGCAGACAGUGGUGAUGGCUGCCCACCAUGGGAACAUAAUGUCUCCGAAUUGUGCACAUAAACUGGCCCAUAGAGUUUCCAGCGAGUGCCUGGUGGACUCAAACUGCCAACUUUUUGAUUAGCAGCCGUAGCUCUUGACCACUGCAGCACCAGGGUUUCCUAUACACACAAAAACGGUUGAAAUGGUAAAUGUUGUAUAUUUCACCGCGAUAAAAAAAUGUUUUUAACUGAGAUGCCUAAAUAUGUUAUGGAUAUUUGCCAAUUGCAAAACCUUAUAAAAAUAAACAAAUACUUCCCCUAAUGUUCUACUAAAUUGGGGAGGGAGCAGUUUUUUUUAAAAAAUCACUUUUGAAGAUUUUUAGGGUAAGGGGGAAAAAACGGGGGGUCUUCAGAAUGACAGUGUAAGCACUGUUUCCAGCCUGAAUUGAUCUUGCACAGCAAGCUUUGACUUCUCAAGCUCUGCUUUACUGUUUCAGGUCAAAAUACAUGAUCAAAGUAUACUAUUCCCAUUGUGCUCAGCAUAUCCUACAGGAGUGAGAAAACCAUUGUUCUACAAUGCCUCUAUAAUAAAAAAAAAAAAAGUCAUGGUUCACAUUGUAAUGACGGCACUCCACUUUGAUCUUAUAAAGCCAUUCUUUAGCAGUUUUUUCAGAUACAGGGGAAACAGGACUAUUGAUAGAAAUUCUCAUGAUAAAGGAUAUGCAGUCGCCUACUCUCCUGGAUUCAUGGGUUGAUUUUCUACUAUAACUUAAAGCUAGAGACAGGGUUAUAUCCAACAGCCUUCCUGCACCCCUAAAAAAAAGCACACACAUACACUCAAAGCCCCUCAACACCCACGUGUUUGUUUCAGCUAAAAGCUUUGAGAAAAGUACCAUUAUUGUAUGGUGUAGAUUUCUAUUCACAUAUAUCCUUGAGCAAAUAAUACUAAACUGCAUGUAUGUUUAUAAUGCUGUCAUCUCUAGAGAGAUAAUAGGUCUCUUCCACAGUGCUGGUAACACACUUUUCUAUCCUACCAACCUCCCCAUUCCCAAACUCCUUUGAAUGUACAGCUUAUUUUAUUCUAGCUUUAUUGUUUAUUCCAUCACACAUUAUCAGCCCUUGAGAGUGGAUCUUCUUGAAGAUUUGUUCAGUCACUUGUAAUACAUCCUUUAAUGACCUGGAUUAUUUAACUUCCUGUUUUUCCCUCAUGAAGAAAUUGAAAUGAGCUUUAAACUUUUUCACCUCAAGGUCAAGAAUUUUUUUUAAGUGAAGAAACGUACAUGUAAAAAAAAAAAAAAAAGAAACUUGGAAACGACUAUUUUAUAAA